ACGGGAGGCAGCAGUGGGGAAUAUUGCGCAAUGGGCGAAAGCCUGACGCAGCGACGCCGCGUGAGGGAUGAAGGCCUUCGGGUUGUAAACCUCUUUCAGCAGGGAAGAAGCGAAAGUGACGGUACCUGCAGAAGAAGCACCGGCUAACUACGUGCCAGCAGCCGCGGUAAUACGUAGGGUGCAAGCGUUGUCCGGAAUUAUUGGGCGUAAAGAGCUCGUAGGCGGUCUGUCGCGUCUGCUGUGAAAACUCGGGGCUUAACCCCGGGCCUGCAGUGGGUACGGGCAGACUAGAGUGCGGUAGGGGAGACUGGAAUUCCUGGUGUAGCGGUGAAAUGCGCAGAUAUCAGGAGGAACACCGGUGGCGAAGGCGGGUCUCUGGGCCGUAACUGACGCUGAGGAGCGAAAGCAUGGGGAGCGAACAGGAUUAGAUACCCUGGUA
rnacentral:rRNA from 1 species